ACUACCAUUAUCAUAUAGCGCGGGGGGAAAAAAAAACCCACCCGGGGGUUGUGUCCCUGGUAAGGGGGAGAGUGAACAGCCAAACAGUCUCAAAAUUUGAAUCUCUGCGUCCUCGGGUGUCGAGAUUUAUAUAUGUAGAGGAUACGUUUGGGGCGAUGCAUUCACAGUUGCUCCGAACAACACGCCUUAGAGGAGGAGAACACUCCUAUGGUGGGAUAGCAAGCCUCCGUAAAGCUCAUUUCAUGAGUCGAGUAGAGUGGUAAGGGUGCUCUAAUUGGGAGGUAAAUUUAUUUUAUAGUAAAAUAUUGUCCAGAGCCGAGUAGCGCACAAGUAGAGUGAUGUAAAGAAGAAAAGCACUUCGAAAAGAGGGUUGAAUAGCACGGCAAAUUGUAGAGAGGGAAGGGUUGGGGACCAGACCUUUUCCUAGCGAAUCAUCCGGUGUUUUCACCGGUGCACUUCGCGAGGUUUAGGCCAGCAUCGGUUGUCGUAGGGGGAUAAAAAAUCUGGGAAGAAAGCUCCUCCGGGAGGGUUAUAACCCUCUGCAUAAUACCCUUACGGGGACCGAGGACCGCGCUUUGGCAAGGAGGUGGGCGUAAUGGUGUUCAAAGACCCCUCUUGAAACACGGACCAAGGAGUGUAACAUUUGUGCGAGUGUUUGGGGGUUUAACCCCCACGCGUAAAAAAAAAGAAAGGAGGGGAGAGCCCUCCCGGGUGCAUCAUCGACCGAUCCUGAUGUCUUCGGAUGGAUUUGAGUAAGAGCAUAACUGUUGGGACCCGAAAGAUGGUGAACUAUGCAUGAAUAGGGUGAAGCCAGAGGAAACUCUGGUGGAGGCUCGCAGCGGUUCUGACGUGCAAAUCGAUCGUCAAAUUUGUGCAUUAGGGGCGAAAGA
rnacentral:rRNA from 1 species